rnacentral:rRNA from 1 species
UGGGGAAUAUUGCGCAAUGGGCGAAAGCCUGACUCAGCGACGCCGCGUGCGGGAUGAAGGUUUUCGGAUCGUAAACCUCUGUCAGAAGGGAAGAAACCGCACUGUGCUAAUCAGCAGUGCCUUGACGGUACCUUCAAAGGAAGCACCGGCUAACUCCGUGCCAGCAGCCGCGGUAAUACGGAGGGUGCAAGCGUUAAUCGGAAUUACUGGGCGUAAAGCGCACGUAGGCUGCUUUGUAAGUCAGGGGUGAAAUCCCACGGCUCAACCGGGGAACUGCCUUUGAGACUGCUGAGCUUGAAUCCGGGAGAGGGUGGCGGAAUUCCAGGUGUAGGAGUGAAAUCCGUAGAUAGCUGGAGGAACAUCAGUGGCGAAGGCGGCCACCUGGACCGGUAUUGACGCUGAGGUGCGAAAGCGUGGGGAGCAAACAGG